rnacentral:rRNA from 1 species
AGCGAACGCUGGCGGCAGGCCUAACACAUGCAAGUCGAACGAAGUCUUCGGACUUAGUGGCGGACGGGUGAGUAACACGUGGGAACGUGCCUUUAGGUUCGGAAUAACUCAGGGAAAAUUGUGCUAAUACCGAAUGUGCCCUUCGAGGGAAAGAUUUAUCGCCCUUAGAGCGGCCCGCGUCUGAUUAGCUAGUUGGUGAGGUAAAGGCUCACCAAGGCGACGAUCAGUAGCUGGUCUGAGAGGAUGAUCAGCCACAUUGGGACUGAGACACGGCCCAAACUCCUACGGGAGGCAGCAGUGGGGAAUCUUGCGCAAUGGGCGAAAGCCUGACGCAGCCAUGCCGCGUGAAUGAUGAAGGUCUUAGGAUUGUAAAAUUCUUUCACCGGGGACGAUAAUGACGGUACCCGGAGAAGAAGCCCCGGCUAACUUCGUGCCAGCAGCCGCCGCCGUAA